GUGAGGAAUAUUGGUCAAUGGACGGAAGUCUGAACCAGCCAUGCCGCGUGCAGGAAUAAGGUCCUAUGGAUUGUAAACUGCUUUUAUUCGGGAAUAAACCUCUUUACGUGUAGGGAGCUGAAGGUACCGAAUGAAUAAGCACCGGCUAACUCCGUGCCAGCAGCCGCGGUAAUACGGAGGGUGCAAGCGUUAUCCGGAAUCAUUGGGUUUAAAGGGUCCGCAGGCGGGCUAUCAAGUCAGAGGUGAAAUCCCACAGCUUAACUGUGGAACUGCCUUUGAAACUGAUGGUCUUGAAUUAAGUGGGCGUUGGCGGAAUAUGACAUGUAGCGGUGAAAUGCAUAGAUAUGUCAUGGAACACCGAAAGCGAAGGCAGCUAACGAUACUUAUAUUGACGCUCAUGGACGAAAGCGUGGGUAGCGAACAGGAUUAGAAACCCUAGUAGUCC
rnacentral:rRNA from 1 species